rnacentral:rRNA from 1 species
CUACUAGGGUAUCUAAUCCCGUUUGCUCCCCUGACCUUCGUGCCUCAGCGUCAGGAACUGUCCAGAGACCCGCCUUCGCCACUGGUCUUCCUUACGAUAUCUACGCAUUUCACCGCUACACCGUAAAUUCCAGUCUCCUCUCCAGUCCUCAAGCACGGCAGUAUCGAAUGCAGUUUCGGAGUUAAGCUCCGAGAUUUCACACCCGACUUACCGCGCCGCCUACGCACCCUUUACGCCCAAUGAAUCCGAACAACGCUUGAGACCUCUGUAUUACCGCGGCUGCUGGCAC